ACAUGUAUAUAUAUACAUUUUUGAAGAGAACAAUUAUUACAAAUUUGAACAGAACUUAAAACAUGUGAUCAGUAAUCUCAUACUGAACCUGUCCAACAUAUUUCAAAAUAAUAUGGUAAAGGGUACUGCUGAUUCCAUGUAGAGAUAAAGCUAUGUCGGCCAUCUUGAUUGUCAGGCAGGGUCAUCAGACAAAUUUUUGAAAGAAGAUACCCUAAUAAUGGUUGUGGCCAAGUUUGGGAAAAUUUGGCAAAGCAGUUUCAGAGGAGAAGAUCUUAGUUAAAGUCAACAGACGGCGGACAACACCGAUGGACAACGACAACCACCAAGUGAUGGCAAAAGCUCAUAUUUAGGGCCAGAUAUUAGAUAGAUCCAAUUCAGAAGCCAGCAUUUAAGAAGUACUAAAAACAAAAUGUUCGAUGUCGUCUUGCUAUAAUAGUCAUGGAGAAGAAAAAGACUAAAUAUUUUUAAAUGUAUUUACAUAAAUAUGGUUUCUGUUUCUCUCUUUGUAUCGUGUGUGUUCGCAAAUGUAAUAGUCGAAAAUACGAUCGUUUAAAAGUUAUUACAUUGUUCCAUUGCAUCAAUUUUAUGGGAUCAUUUCCAUGUAUUAUAUCAAAGGAAAAUUGAUCCAUCGAUUCCAACAAAUUACUUUCUUUGAUCAAUUUUUAUGUGAAAUUCGAAUGUAAUAGCUACAACUCUAAUUCUCAUAUAAGUGAAUGUACAAAUUCUCAUCAUAAGUACAUUUAAAUUCAUAGGGUUUGUUAAAAAAAACGAUUUGCAAAAGCAGUUUUAUGUUAUAACGAAAAGAGCGUGACACAUACAUUUGUACUUUGUUUUGUCGAUACAAGCCUGCAAGAAAUUGAAAAGCCUGAUUUUGUAACUAUUUUUUAUGAAACUAUUAAGUCAAAUGUACAAAAAAAAACUGCAGGUGUAUGACCACUUUAAUUAAAACAAAUUUGUUUCAAAGUUACGAUGAUAACAAUAAGAAGAUUUUAAUUUAGAUCAGAAUAUAGUGAUACAAGAAGUUUGAAAAUUGAAUAUUAAGGGACCCUCUAUCAAAACAUCAGAUCAAUUUUCAGUGCUCCUGGAAAUUCUAAGCACAAUACAUUUUGUCGAAUUACCGUGACCAAUUUUGUGUACAACUGUUUCACGGGAAUUUCCAAUAAACUAUAUUAUAUCCUUGUAAUUAUGACCCCUCGCAGAGUCUCGUCAAUAUGCACUCACAGACUUGACACAGAUAACGUCAAAUUGUUGAUGGCGGAGUUUUUAGUUUGUAAAGAAUUUUUUUUGUUUCCAUGACACUGCAUCAAAAUAUAUCACUUACCUUUAUUGCCACUAAAUAAGGACAGGACAAGCCAAUUAUAUCUCAUUCAAAUACCGUCAAUUAUUUAUUGUAUUACAUGUAUAGUGAGCAAUAAACUGGCACGUAAUUAACUAUCAUUAAUCAAUACAGGUUCUUUAAACAAAUACAGAAAAGGUUUCAUUUUCGUUUGUCCAAGCAACAAAGAACUUUUUAAGAAAUCGAUGUUCUCCAGAUGACUAUUUCUUUGGAAUAUUUUCUUUUUCCAUUGCCCCAAAAAUUUAACUUGAGAAAUCAAAAGUUGUUUAUAUUAAACGUAGAAGAUUCCAUAUUUUUACUACACCCAAGAUGUCUCAGAAAGGAGUACGUUCACGAAGGGUUAAAAUUGGCCCUAAGAUGUUAAUGAUUUUGAUGAUCAGGCCAAAAUACUAAUCAUUUCUCAUAGAAAUAGUUGUGAUAUUACUAUAUCGAUACAAAAAUCAAAGUACUGAAGUACUGAACAUCGGAUGACCGCAAGUUCUUGUGGAUGGUCAAAAGCAUUUGUCACAGAAAAAAAUCACAUCUCUAUACCUUAAACUGAGGUUAAUGUACAGAGAUAUAUUUUUUUCUGAGACAAGUUCGUGCGUGGAUGAUGAAUAAAUGACAUGAAAUUCAACCUCACCGUAAUAACUAUUAUAUUGUAGUGAUACAAAUCAGUAUACACUGGUUUGUUGUUAUAUAUUAUAUUAAUAUAACAGUUACAUGUAUAUAUAAUUUUCAUCCAUUUGUAUAUCAUUCUAUUCUACUAUUCUAAUAAUAGUGCAGUGCAAGUGCAUGGUGGACACUCUUCUGUAAAAAUUCGAUUUUUCUAAAAGAUUGGAUAUGAGUAGGCAUUCAUAUUUUCCCGCAAAAAACAAUUACAGAGUUACAGGUCCUUGCCGGGAUUGUCGCAAAACGUUCUUGGGAUAUUCUUCCGCAUGUUUUUACACAAUUUUUCGGUACGUGUGCAUAGAUAUUAUCAAUGAUUUUUUACUUAUAUAUAUAUAUAUCUAACGACAAAACAUUUUCAUAUUAUUAAUUUAUGUUCUAAACAAAAAUAUUUUUAUCAGUAUUCAUUGAAGAGAUGUAUUUAUAACAAACGAUAAUGAAUGUUAUUUUGCACUCGUUAAUAUCCGCGUAUUUAUCAUGUUUAUAGAUCGGUUACAAACCCAAAACGAAAGUGACGUAAUGGAAAUCUAGGCGAUAGCAAUACAUCGGAAUGCCCUCACGGUCAUCGCGAUGUAAUAAGUUCAUUUUGGCACAUCACAUUAAAAAUGACUAAAUGACCGAAGUAUUGACUUCUGAAGUAUGCAUUAUUUGUGUUGUAACGUCAGUUUUGGUCAAAUUUUCAAUAAUACUUUAUAACAGUU